CUUUUCUGUCCGCGGGAGCGUGCCCGUGCCGCCAUGAGAGCUUCCGCCAUGGAUUCAGCGAUGCGGUCACAAACCGCUUCCUGUGGUGGCUGCGGGGCAGGGGUGCAGCCUCGCAGGCCCCAGGUGCGGUGCGUGGUGCAGAAGUCGCUCGUGAUGGGGGCUGCGUGCUGCUGAACGUGUCACAUGGCGAACAGAAGGCCGAGGCCGCCACCCCGCCUCAGGCCUUCGUGAGCCCCAGGCCCGGCGCAGCCACGCAGGGGUGGCUUGCAAGGGGACCACCCCCUACAUCCUCUCCAUCUGAUGCGGUUUCAGCGCACCUUGCAGGUAAGGGUGUAGACCAGGAGGACAGCUGUGAAGUCGACUCCGAAGCGUUCAGGCACUUCCCAUGAAGAACUGGGCUCGGGCUUCACCACCUGCUAGCUGUGUGCGACCCCGGGGCAAGUUCUCCAGGUGCUAAGGUGGCGUCUCCCACGGAUACGACUUGGAUCCCUAGAGCCUCAUGAGCACUGGAUGGCAACGCCCAGGUCAAGCACGGAAGUUGGAUUAGCCCUUCCUACAGAAACAUGCAGCUUCUUGGCUGAGCGGGACCCUUUGCUGAAAUGCUGUCCCUGGGUCCAUCUUAAUUAACCGCCUUCUGUGAAAGCCUA